rnacentral:rRNA from 1 species
UACAGAGGUCCCGAGCGUUGUUCGGAUUCACUGGGCGUAAAGGGUGCGCAGGUGGGUUUGCAAGUUCGAUGUGAAAGCCCCGGGCUUAACCCGGGAAUGGCAUUGGAUACUGCAGAUCUGGAGGAUCGGAGGGGGGACUGGAAUUCUUGGUGUAGCAGUGAAAUGCGUAGAUAUCAAGAGGAACACCAGUGGCGAAGGCGGCUCACUGGCCCGUUACUGACGCUGAGGCACGAAAGCGUGGGGAGCAAACAGG